UCAGCCUGUGGUAAUCAAACUAUGGGGGCAAUUUUUGUUCUGGACUAAAGUGCCGCCAGUUUUGAGAGCUGCCGGUUGA
rnacentral:miRNA from 1 species